rnacentral:misc_RNA from 1 species
AAAAACAAAAAAAAAAGGAUAUUAAUACUCAAAAAGUGUUGAAGGACAUGAAUGGAGGGGUAACCACUAGUGUUUCAAUGAUUGAGGUAAUAUGAGAGAUUUCACUAUUGUAGAAAAAGAACAAUGGAAACAUGGAAGUGAAUUAGAUCUCCAUAAAAUUAAAGCAAGCUAAAGGAGAACUGUGAAGUCCUAUGUGAUUGCAAAUACCAGCAAAGAUGAAGGGGAAGUUGUAAAGACCAUUAAACUAGCUAUAAUGUAUGGCAAUAAAUGAUUGCAAUGAAGAUAUAUGCUUACCAAUUAGCAUACAGUAAGGAGGACGCUAAGAUGGAUAUGCAUAAAUAUAAAGACAGAUCAAAUAAAGCAAGGAUAGAGAUGGCACCCGUUAAAAAAGAUUCGAGAGAAGGGCGGUUAAGAUGGUUUGAAUAUGUGCAUUUUAAACUAGCAAAUGCACCAAUGUGGAAUGUUGAACAAAUUAAAGUUGCAGUAAAGUGAGGGGUAGACCUAGUUUGAUGUUGGAAAAGUAGUGAAAAAGGAUUUAGAGGCUCUAGAUCCUUAUGAAGUUAUACCUGUAAAAUGGGUAAAGUAAGAGGAAAAUGAUCCACAUUGUUGAUGCCCUAUCUAGUUUGCAAUUAAUGCUUAAUUGAGUACUAUUUACACUCGUGACAAUACUGGCUCUUAAAAUUUCCAGUCAGUUCUCUACAGCACUAAACUUGCUGCUUAGUUCUUUUUGGUUCACUACAACUUACAAGUUGUGAUAUUCUAUCCUCCUACAAAACUUUAAGCAUUGGCUUUCAUGAACUUUUUCAAACCAGUAUUUUACCAUUGGCAACUUGGAUAAAUCAAUUAGA